AGGGAAAAGACAAAGAGACGCUAAAGACAGUGUUAGUUGAGAAGCCGGAGAGGACGGAUGCAAAAGGUGUGCAGUGUGAGUUGAGAAGCGAGAGCGAGCGAGUGUUGAAGCCGGAGAGUGUGAAUCGGGAAGUCGAAAGCCGCGUAUGAAAAUAAGACGAGCACGCGAGAAAAGCUGCGAACGAGUUAUUUAAGGUGAGACAUAGACUUCGGGGCGAAUGUCGAGGAAGACAGGGAGAGGCGAACCAGCGAAAGAACGAACGGAACAGCGUAGCGAAGGCAAAAGGAUAGAAUUGAAGCUGGAGUGCGGAACAUAGGGUGUGCAUAUCCCUUUGUGCAUGUAUUAAUUCGCAACUAAAUGGAUCUACAGCGGCAACCACGAGGGUACGCUUUCCUCCUUCUGUUAAAACAUCCCCUCAGGACAUUUAAAUCUUCACCCGUUAC
rnacentral:misc_RNA from 1 species